rfam:Triticum aestivum genome assembly, contig: Triticum_aestivum_CS42_TGACv1_scaffold_213618_3AS
CUACUACUCCCUCCAUUCGGAAUUACUUGUCGCAGAAAUAGAUGUAUCUAGAUGUAUUUUUAAUUCUAGAUACAUCCAUAUUCGAGACAAGUAAUUCCGAACGGAGGGAGUACUUA